rnacentral:rRNA from 1 species
GACGAACGCUGGCGGCGUGCCUAAUACAUGCAAGUCGAACGAGAGCGCCCGGUGCUUGCACUGGUCAAUCUAGUGGCGAACGGGUGAGUAACACGUGGGUAACCUGCCCAUCAGAGGGGGAUAACUUUCGGAAACGGAUGCUAAAACCGCAUAGGUUUUCGAACCGCAUGGUUUGAAGAGGAAAAGCGGCGCAGGCUUCUGCUGUUGGAUGAACCCGCGGUGCAUUAGCUAGUUGGUAAGGUAACGGCUCACCAAGGCCGUGAUGCAUAGCCGACCUGAGAGGGUGAUCGGCCACAUUGGAACUGAGACACGGCCCAAACUCCUACGGGAGGCAGCAGUAGGGAAUCUUCCGCAAUGGGCGCAAGUCUGACGGAGCAACGCCGCGUGAGUGAAGAAGGUUUUCGGAUCGUAAAACUCUGUUGUUAGAGAAGAACAAGUGCUAGAGUAACUGUUAGCGCCUUGACGGUAUCUAACCAGAAAGCCACGGCUAACUACGUG